UGAGACUGGCUUCCCGUCCCAGCACGGAUCUGACCUGCUCAGUGACCUUGAGCAAGGUUCCCACAGGGACAAUGACAAGGAGGGGCUGUUUCUGCCCAGAGAGUCUGCAUUUCCACGAGUUUGGGGCAGAGCGGGAAAGAGAAGAGGAGGGCAGAAAGGAGCUGAAGGAGGAGCCUGGGGUCCAGGGCAGACCCUGGCAGCUGAGGGGUCACCGCCCAGCCCAGUCCUGGAGCUAGCUCUAGCCUACGCAAUCUCCAGGAAGCUGCUGGAAACAGAAGCGGUCCUCCCCAGCUCUCUUCCUCCCGCCCAGGAAAACACAAACGUCCAGGGCCAGAGGUCUCCUUCCCUGACAUCAUGCCCUGUCGGCUUCUGAAGAUGCGUGAAUUCCACAGUUCCCCACAAAAUCAUUUGGAAAAAAGAUAAUAAAUUCACAUUCUUUGCCCUUG
rnacentral:lncRNA from 1 species